rnacentral:rRNA from 1 species
UACGAAGGGGGCUAGCGUUGCUCGGAAGCACUGGGCGUAAAGGGUGCGUAGGCGGGUCUUUAAGUCAGAGGUGAAAUCCUGGAGCUCAACUCCAGAACUGCCUUUGAUACUGAGGAUCUUGAGUACGGGAGAGGUGAGUGGAACUGCGAGUGUAGAGGUGAAAUUCGUAGAUAUUCGCAAGAACACCAGUGGCGAAGGCGGCUCACUGGCCCGUUACUGACGCUGAGGCACGAAAGCGUGGGGAGCAAACAGG